UACAGAGGGCUCAAGCGUUAAUCGGAUUCACUGGGCUUAAAGGGUGUGUAGGCGGGUGGGUCAGUGCUUUGUGAAAUCCCAUGGCUUAACCAUGGAACUGCUUAGCAUACUGCCUACCUUGAGAUCGGUAGAGGUUGCCGGAACUCUAGGUGUAGCGGUGAAAUGCGUAGAUAUCUAGAGGAACGCCAAAGGUGAAGACAGGCAGCUGGGCCGAAUCUGACGCUGAGACACGAAAGCGUGGGUAGCGAACGGG
rnacentral:rRNA from 1 species